AUUUUUAAUCUUUUGAGGAACCUCCACAUUGUUUUCCAUAAUGGCUGCACCAGUUUUCAUCCCCACCAUCAUUACACAAGGUUCCUUUUUUUUUACAUUAUCACCAACUCUUGUUCUUUCUUGUUCUUUUUCUGCAGGCAGAGUCCCAGGCUGGCAGGAGAAGUGGGCGUGGUCGCUGGGACAGCCCUCCGAAAUGGGUCAGGUGGUGCUUCGAGGCUCAGGGGACGUGGCCUCCUGGGUAGCAUCCAAAGCGUCUGGCCUCCGUCUCUUCAGUGCAGAUGGAAGUGCAGCACGUCCAGGAGUGUGACCGCUGCCAUCUCCCUGGUGCACGUGCAUCGCAGUGAUCCAGUUUGAAUGGGGAUCUCAUCGUGACUUGUGGACUUAAAAGGGGACGGACGGAUGGCAUAGAGGGAAAUGGCUACCAGUGAAAUCAGAGGACAAUGUGUCUCAGCAGUUUUAAAAGCUUCGGUUACGUCUGUGCUACUGAAUGAAAGAAUGCGUCUCCAAUCAACGUCAUGAGUCAAUCCCCAAGGUACCUUUCUGGGUGUCCUCGAUGGUGUAGACCUCAUCAUGGAAAGAGAACCGGACUCUCUUCUUGGGUCGUUGUGGAGGGGUCGGCGUGGUUGGGGGCGUCUCCACAUCCUCAGGGAGGCACUCCCCACAGAUUUCUGGGAGACGCACAGAAACAGAGAACAGUUUCGGCACCUUGUCGUCAGAAGCCCAUAGGGGGAUUGGACAUCCUUUCCUUCUAGUCCAUCCGUCUCCUGCCCCUACUCGCCAGCUGCCCAGCAGGCAUUCCUCCCUCCAGGUGGGACUUAGGAAGGGGUCACCGUGUGCUGUGCUCUGAAUUCCGCCCCCUCCCACACCCACAGGUUCCGUGGGCAAUGGCUUGUAUGGAGCAUAGACAGGACAGAAACGCAACAGAGUGCCGUGAGCAUGCGUGAUGGCCUGGGUCACAUCCAUUGAGCAGCCACACCUACCCUCUGUGCCCUGUUUCCCUGCCCUCCGGCCUAGACAUUAGUGUGCCACCACGGUAUUCCAAGUGAUUGAGUCCAAGGAACACCUGGGGCCUAGGGGAGGACGGGAUGCUUCCCACCCGCACGGCAGGUGUUGAGGAACGGACCGCCUAGGGACUCAGCUAGACGGCUGGCUGUGGGUGAAGCCACAGUGGAGGACAGUGGAGGGCCCUGAAAUGUAGGGUGGUGAAGGGACCGUCCAG
ensembl:lncRNA